rnacentral:lncRNA from 10 species
AGACUUUGUGAGCCUGUGUCUUGCCUGGGCAUGCACAUGGCUUUCUAAAUUCUCUCGUAACAGCUGCUUUUGAGUGUCCUAAUUUCCCAAAGAGUCUUACUCCAGCUUCUCAUCUGGGCCUUAGAUGGUCUACUCUAUGGCUCCACUCAAAAUCUCUUGCCCAGGCCAUGAGCCUAUAGUGAUCUUGCAGCUUUUAUUAACAGUGUCCACUUAUUUUUCCAGCUGUGUUCUGAGUUAGGUAACACAGAUUAUUUACAAGGAGGAAAUUGGAACAAGGCUGGCUGCUGUGUUUCAAGACAAAGACUGCUGCCACACCGGGGAGAGGAUGGGGCCAGGGGUCUCAUUCUGUUGCCCAGACCAGUCCAGACUCCCCUCCGACCCUGCCCCACUUCCACUGCCAGGAUCUGAUGUGUCCUUAGGUGGCCCACACAGUCCUCCCAGCUAUCUGCAGCUGCUGCUGGAACCUCCUUCACGCAGGCAGAAAUGGGGUUUUUGGCCCUGACACGGUGUCCUCUUACAUUCCCCCUGAGCUGGCUGCUAGAACUGGGCCAUGUCUCUAAAUGCCCUUCAGUCUUUCACAAAGCAGGGCGCGCGGGGUGUGUGAAAGUUCAGGCUGUGCUGAUGGGAACAACCCAUCCCAUCCUUUCCCGUUGCUCCUCCCCAGCGUUGGCUGAAGCCCUCCUUUAUUCACUGGACAGGUUAUCUCGUAAAGAAGGCGCUAGCUUAUGAACUCAGUCAGCACGUCGGUGAAACAGCCCGAGAUCAUUUGAAGCUGGUUUCAGGGCUUUGUUUAUUCUUUCAGUUUUUCUAAAGUUACUGAAGGAGGCGCGUAAAAAAUAAAAAGAGAAUGCUAGGUUGCUGAAAGAGAAAAAAGCAAAGAGCCAGUCUGAGAAACACCACGGAAAAUGUGUGUUUUUUUUCGUGUUGAUUCUCCUGGUAGGCUCCUGGGCUAUUCUCUAGUCAGCUCUCUGGCAGCAAAGCAUAGUAUGAUUUCAGAGUAUC